AUAGAACGCUGGCGGCAGGCCUAACACAUGCAAGUCGAACGAGUGGCGGACGGGUGAGUAAUGUCUGGGAAACUGCCUGAUGGAGGGGGAUAACUACUGGAAAAGGUAGCUAAUAACGAAUAACAGCGGAUGUGCACAGAUGGGAUUAGAUAGUAGGUGGGGUAAAGGCUCACCUAGGCGACGAUCCCUAGCUGGUCUGAGAGGAUGACCAGCAACAGUGGAACGUAUACAAGGUCCAGACGCCUACGGGAGGACGCAGUGGGGAUGAUUGCACAAUGGGCGCAAUCCUGAUGCAGCCAUGCGUCGUUUAUGAAGAAGGCCUUCGGGUUGUAAAGUACUUUCAGCGGGGAGGCGUUACCCGCAGAAGGAGCACCGGCUAACUCCGUGCCAGCAGCCGCGGUAAUUC
rnacentral:rRNA from 1 species